ACAUGCUUACAACAUAACGUUAAUGAACUGGAUGCCAUUAGAACUUCAUAGUUAAGUGUGCUCGGGCUAGAGUAGUACUAGGAUGGGUGACCUCCUAGGAAGUCCUAGUGUUUUACAUGCC
rnacentral:rRNA from 1 species